rnacentral:rRNA from 1 species
AGUAAUGCUUGGGAAUCUAGCUUAUGGAGGGGGAUAACUACGGGAAACUGUAGCUAAUACCGCGUAGAAUCGGGAGAUGAAAGUGUGGGACCUUCGGGCCACAUGCCACAGGAUGAGCCCAAGUGGGAUUAGGUAGUUGGUGAGGUAAAGGCUCACCAAGCCGACGAUCUCUAGCUGGUCUGAGAGGAUGACCAGCCACACUGGGACUGAGACACGGCCCAG